GUGGGUGUAGUUCAGUGGUAGAACACCAGACUGUGGAUCUGGGUGUCGCGGGUUCAAGUCCCGUCAUCCACC
rnacentral:tRNA from 2 species